GUUAUAUGGUCAAGUGAAGAAGCGCAUACGGUGGAUGCCUUGGCAGUCAGAGGCGAUGAAAGACGUGGUAGCCUGCGAAAAGCUUCGGGGAGUCGGCAAACAGACUGUGAUCCGGAGAUAUCUGAAUGGGGGAACCCAGCCAUCAUAAGAUGGUUAUCUUGUACUGAAUACAUAGGUGCAAGAGGCGAACCAGGGGAACUGAAACAUCUAAGUACCCUGAGGAAAAGAAAUCAACCGAGAUUCCCUUAGUAGUGGCGAGCGAACGGGGACCAGCCCUUAAGUUGUAUUGAGAUUAGCGGAACGUUCUGGAAAGGACGGCCAUAGUGGGUGAUAGCCCUGUACGCGAAAAUCCCUUUGCAAUGAAAUCGAGUAGGACGGGGCACGAGAAACCUUGUCUGAAUAUGGGGGGACCAUCCUCCAAGGCUAAAUACUACUGACUGACCGAUAGUGAACCAGUACCGUGAGGGAAAGGCGAAAAGAACCGCGGAGAGCGGAGUGAAAUAGAUCCUGAAACCGUAUGCGUACAAGCAGUGGGAGCCCACUUUGUUGGGUGACUGCGUACCUUUUGUAUAAUGGGUCAGCGACUUAUUUUCAGUGGCGAGCUUAACCGAAUAGGGGAGGCGUAGCGAAAGCGAGUCUUAAUAGGGCGUCUAGUCGCUGGGAAUAGACCCGAAACCGGGCGAUCUAUCCAUGGGCAGGUUGAAGGUUGGGUAACACUAACUGGAGGACCGAACCGACUACCGUUGAAAAGUUAGCGGAUGACCUGUGGAUCGGAGUGAAAGGCUAAUCAAGCUCGGAGAUAGCUGGUUCUCCUCGAAAGCUAUUUAGGUAGCGCCUCAUGUAUCACUGUAGGGGGUAGAGCACUGUUUCGGCUAGGGGGUCAUCCCGACUUACCAAACCGAUGCAAACUCCGAAUACCUACAAGUGCCGAGCAUGGGAGACACACGGCGGGUGCUAACGUCCGUCGUGAAAAGGGAAACAACCCAGACCGUCAGCUAAGGUCCCAAAGUCAUGGUUAAGUGGGAAACGAUGUGGGAAGGCUUAGACAGCUAGGAGGUUGGCUUAGAAGCAGCCACCCUUUAAAGAAAGCGUAAUAGCUCACUAGUCGAGUCGGCCUGCGCGGAAGAUGUAACGGGGCUCAAACCAUGCACCGAAGCUACGGGUAUCAUCUUUUGAUGAUGCGGUAGAGGAGCGUUCUGUAAGCCUGUGAAGGUGAGUUGAGAAGCUUGCUGGAGGUAUCAGAAGUGCGAAUGCUGACAUGAGUAACGACAAUGGGUGUGAAAAACACCCACGCCGAAAGACCAAGGUUUCCUGCGCAACGUUAAUCGACGCAGGGUUAGUCGGUCCCUAAGGCGAGGCUGAAAAGCGUAGUCGAUGGAAAACAGGUUAAUAUUCCUGUACUUCUGGUUAUUGCGAUGGAGGGACGGAGAAGGCUAGGCCAGCCUGGCGUUGGUUGUCCAGGUUUAAGGUGGUAGGCUGAGAUCUUAGGUAAAUCCGGGAUCUUAAGGCCGAGAGCUGAUGACGAGUGUUCUUUUAGAACACGAAGUGGUUGAUGCCAUGCUUCCAAGAAAAGCUUCUAAGCUUCAGGUAACCAGGAACCGUACCCCAAACCGACACAGGUGGUUGGGUAGAGAAUACCAAGGCGCUUGAGAGAACUCGGGUGAAGGAACUAGGCAAAAUGGCACCGUAACUUCGGGAGAAGGUGCGCCGGUGGAGGUGAAGCAUUUACUGCGUAAGCCCCUGCCGGUCGAAGAUACCAGGCCGCUGCGACUGUUUAUUAAAAACACAGCACUCUGCAAACACGAAAGUGGACGUAUAGGGUGUGACGCCUGCCCGGUGCCGGAAGGUUAAUUGAUGGGGUUAGCGCAAGCGAAGCUCUUGAUCGAAGCCCCGGUAAACGGCGGCCGUAACUAUAACGGUCCUAAGGUAGCGAAAUUCCUUGUCGGGUAAGUUCCGACCUGCACGAAUGGCGUAACGAUGGCGGCGCUGUCUCCACCCGAGACUCAGUGAAAUUGAAAUCGCUGUGAAGAUGCAGUGUAUCCGCGGCUAGACGGAAAGACCCCGUGAACCUUUACUAUAGCUUUGCACUGGACUUUGAAUUUGCUUGUGUAGGAUAGGUGGGAGGCUUUGAAGCGUGGACGCCAGUCUGCGUGGAGCCAACCUUGAAAUACCACCCUGGCAACUUUGAGGUUCUAACUCAGGUCCGUUAUCCGGAUCGAGGACAGUGUAUGGUGGGUAGUUUGACUGGGGCGGUCUCCUCCUAAAGAGUAACGGAGGAGUACGAAGGUGCGCUCAGACCGGUCGGAAAUCGGUCGUAGAGUAUAAAGGCAAAAGCGCGCUUGACUGCGAGACAGACACGUCGAGCAGGUACGAAAGUAGGUCUUAGUGAUCCGGUGGUUCUGUAUGGAAGGGCCAUCGCUCAACGGAUAAAAGGUACUCCGGGGAUAACAGGCUGAUACCGCCCAAGAGUUCAUAUCGACGGCGGUGUUUGGCACCUCGAUGUCGGCUCAUCACAUCCUGGGGCUGAAGCCGGUCCCAAGGGUAUGGCUGUUCGCCAUUUAAAGUGGUACGCGAGCUGGGUUUAGAACGUCGUGAGACAGUUCGGUCCCUAUCUGCCGUGGACGUUUGAGAUUUGAGAGGGGCUGCUCCUAGUACGAGAGGACCGGAGUGGACGAACCUCUGGUGUUCCGGUUGUCACGCCAGUGGCAUUGCCGGGUAGCUAUGUUCGGAAAAGAUAACCGCUGAAAGCAUCUAAGCGGGAAACUUGCCUCAAGAUGAGAUCUCACUGGAACCUUGAGUUCCCUAAAGGGCCGUCGAAGACUACGACGUUGAUAGGUUGGGUGUGUAAGCGCUGUGAGGCGUUGAGCUAACCAAUACUAAUUGCCCGUGAGGCUUGACCAUAUAACACCCAAGCAAUU
rnacentral:rRNA from 1 species